CACAUAUUUUUGAUGUCCACUUGCUUAACGAUUUCCUGAGAAUACAAGUUAUUUGGGAAACAUCAACAUAUAUAAUGUUGGUGAGUUCAUAAGCAUGUUUGAAUGAAAAGUUUUGUAUUCCUUUGUAAAUACCAGAAAAUCCGAUAUUUUUUGUAAAAUGAUUUGAAAGUUUGGUGUCCAACCUUGUAGUUUGGUGUCCAACCUUGUAUUAAUGCAUGUGUGUUUUGGUUUGAAAACAUAUAAAGUGAGUAUUUUGGAAAUUCCUAUGUAUUGAUCUGUUGUAAGUAGAAGGUUUUGUAUAUUUGUAUGUUUUCCCAGAAAAUCCGAUAUUUUCUGUCUUUAAAAAAUAUGUUGUGGUCUUAAAACCCUAAGACCGAGUAUCAGUGUAUGUAUGUUUUUGUAUCAUCAAAAUGGAAUAUGUAUUCUGUAAAUUAUAAUGGAGUUAUUCUCUAUGUGAGUCAUUAUAACCAUACUUGAUAAUGACUGAUCUGUCUGUCAUGACGUUUUUCAGGCGCCGAAUUGUUUAAGGUAAGGUUUGUCACCCUAGACUGGCCUAGUCUAACUGUAGCGAACAACUCAGGUGUGGGGUGUCAACCCCGUAUAGAUCUAUACACAAACUCUCGCUCCCCUUUCAGGAGACUCUGGUUAUAACUACAGGCUACGGUUGUACACUCGAUAGGUGUCAAACAAAAAAUCUCACAAGAGCCUUAACUGAAUUUACGCGAAUAUUGAAUUGCACAGUGUAUAUUGAUUCCGUGUAUGUUUUUAGUUUAUUAGGCCCAACAAGUAUGUAAAUGGGCCACAAAUGCCCAAACAACAUGUAAUGUAUAUUCCAAACCCAGUAAACAUGUAAUUGAAUCACAAGGGCCCAAUAGACAUGCAGUGUGUUCCAGGCCCACGUAAACAUGCAAAUGGCCCACUAAGGGCCAAAUAAAAGUGUAAGUGGCGCAUUUGUUCCGUUUGUUAUUACGUUGAUAAUUUAAGCUCAAUUGUUUACCAAAAUGACAUAAAAGGCCCACUUUUUGUAAAAACACAUUUUUUGUCCAUAAAACCCAAAAUUUACAAUUAAGGCACAUUGUGGUAAAAAUGACACUUUAGGUUCCUUAAACCAAAAGUUUACCUUUAAGGGCUUGUAUCAAAUAAAACAACAUUUUUAGCCAACAUUUGUCAAGAAUAACAUUUUCGGCCCAAUUUUAUGAAAAUUUACAUUUUUGCCUAAAAUGAUUAUAAAUUAUAUUUGCGGCCCAAGCUUAAUAAAAUUGUCAUUUUCAACCCAUAAAUCUGAAAAAUAAUAUUUUUUGGCUCAAAUUCGUAAAAAAUGACACUCAAGCCCACAAAAGACCAAAAAUUUACAAACUUAGCCCAAAAACCGUGAAAGCCCAAUAUGAGGCCCAUUGUGAAACUUUACACUUUUAGCCCUUUUAAAAUCAUAAAUACCAUAAAGAUCCAUAUUUAUUCAAAAUAAAUCCUUUUUGGUCCCUUCAAAACCGUGGGUUAUAUAUUGACUUCACUUUUUGAUUGUUUUGUCAUUUUGGCCCUCUUAUGCGAUUUUCUUAGUUUUAAACAACCUUGUAAUGUUUUAAACCUUUUCUUUGCAUAAUAAGUUGUAUUAAGUGCUAUGUUCUACAUAUAUCAUUAUAAUUUAGCAUAUUUUCGAGUUUAUGAAGUUUACAACACAUAAUCACAAAAUAUAUCAUGAAAAACAUACAUAAUUAUGCAUAUACACAUAGGUCUACACAAAACAACUUGUAUUCUCCCCCAAAACAUAGUAAAAACCAAAAAUAGGGGUAUGAAUUCACAUUGGGUUGAUGGAUCGUUUUUUGAAGAAGUGAAGAAGGAGAUGUCGGCCUUAGCUAACCUCUUGAGGAGGUUUUCGAAUCUUGAUGGUUCUAGAGAGUAAGUAGAUGAUAUUUGAUGUCAGACUCUUGGUAUCACCACAAGAUCAUGAAAAUUGCAAGGGAUGGAUGAAUGAGAUCUUUUUAUGUUUGAGAGGGAACAUAAGAGAGUGUUUGAUGAAUUUUGAAGUGAUGAAUGGUGGGGAAAGAGGUCUUGGCUGUGAGUAAGAAGAAAGAAGAGAGGAGAGAGACAAAAUGUUGCAUGGAAACAUGAGAUUGCAUAGAUAAAUAUUGUGUUUUGUGCAUUGAUAUACAUUAGGUAAUAUUAAGGUGUCACUAAUUCAUAUAAUCCAUGUUUCUUUUUCUUUUUUUUUCAACUGAGAAGAUGAGAGGGAAAAGAAGAGAGUGUUUUGGGCUUAUAUUGAAUAUUCUUGAAAUUAUAAGCCCAAUAUGAAGGUUUUCGGCCCAUUGUGCUCUCUUUAUGGGUUUACGACCCAAUAAGGUUCAAGAAAGUUGUUUACGGCCCAAUAAGGACCAUGAAACAAAGUGAGACAUUUUAGGUCCAAUAAGCCCCGUAAAAAGUCUUAUGGCCCAAAAUGUUGUAGUUUAAUGGAUGUGGGUCCAAUUAGGACCUAAAGAGGCCCAAAACUCCAUAAACAAAGAUAUGAGCAUUCAUGAGGCAAGAUGGAAGCUUUUACCUCAAAUGAGCGCCAAAAGGUGGAAUAAUCUCAGAUUCUUGAGCUCAAGAUACUUAAGUUCUUCUGCUCCAACUUCUCCUUUCUUCUUUUAAGCCUCUAAACACCACCAAGAACUUCACAAAGACAAAAACACACAAGAAUGGAGAAUGAGAGGUUGUCUUGGGUUUCUGAGGUUGAGAGGCUGAUAAGGAGGCUAGGGUUUGAGUCAUAAUGUUCUUUAUAUAGUGCUUAAUCCUAAAAAUUAGGGUUUAGGGACUCUGAACAUACAUUGGGCAUACGCUUCUAACAUUCGUGUUCAAAUACUUCUCUAUGUUGGGCGUACCCCCAGCUUACGUUAAGCGUACAUUCGCGCUGGCCACCUUGCAUGCAUGGUAUCUUCUUGUCACUUUUCUCCAUUAAGGACCAAUAUUGCCAAUAACUUCAAAGUGGCAUAUCUUCCUCAUCCGAGGUCUGUUUCUGAUGAACCUUAUAUCCACGAAAAGGUGUCGAGAAUCCCUACUCUCCUAACAACGUGCCCAAGUCUUAAAGCCUUCCGAAUAAAACCCAAAACCCAUAAAAAGCUCGAACUGCCACUUUACCGAUAUACCCUUUGGGUCCAAGACACAAUCCAACUCCCGGAUCACCUCAAAUACAUUAUCCGUACAUUAUAGGUCGGGAUCUCUCUUCUCCAAAGGCCCUAAGCCUUAUGAUAUCCUUUCCUCAGGCCACAGUCCUGAAUUAGGAAAACCAUUCGGAACAGGGCGUUACAUAGUGCUUCAAAAUCUUGAUUAAGCACACAUGAAGACAUCAAACUUCUAAUUUAAGACAUGCGCUUCAUUUGAUCUAAUAGAUUCAUUUAUGUUGUUCUAAAGUACUCUAAUGGAUCAAAUAAAAAAUAAAGAUGUUUUAAUCCUUUUAAAACAUAAUUACAUAAUGAUAUAUGAUUCAAAUGUGAUGAUCCUAUAAUUUAGAACUCUAAAAGUUUGUUUAUGACAAUAUAAACCAUUCCAACUUCCAAAUGAGUUAUAGCCUCAAUUCAUCAACAUUAUUGAAUCAAAUAGAAAUUAUAAGCUAGAUAUGUGACAUUUCAUGAAUUUAAAACAAUUUAAAUAAGAAAUUAGGUAAUAACUCAACUCAAAUCCCCAUUAAAGCUCCCAAACACCUUACAAACUUCAAUUGGAUAAAUAUAUGCAAAAGUUAUAUCUAUGAUGGAUUAUCUAUAUAGAUGCGAGUUAGAAAAAUUGUAAUGAAACUAAUCUAAUAUUCAAUUUCAUAAAUGAAUCUCAAAUUAAAAUUCAUCAUAGUUAGGAUUUAAAACUUCAAAUUUACACCUAAUCUCCCAAACCAAGCAAUGCAAGAGUAACUAAGUGUAUAUUGAAGAAUAAAUUGUUGAAUAGAAAGUAGAACCUCAUUUGAGAACUUCAAUAGAAAUGUUGGAUUUAGAGGAAUUCUCCAUACCCUUUAUCAAUUUCUGAUGAAGAACAAUGAAAAACUAUACAUUUUAAGCUUUCAAGCAAUGCCUCUUACCUUAAACUAUUCUAUUGUCUUCAAGUUCUCUUUCAAAUCUCAUUUAUGAUCACAAAAUUGUCAUUUCUCUUGCUCUCAAGCUCUCACUAUCGAUCCUUAAUUCAAAUAGGGAAAGAAAGAGCUUUGUUCUAAACUUUUAACUAUUGGCAACUUAAACACAUCAAUCCUCGUUUAUUUCACAUUGACUAAAACUAGUCACCAACUAUCUAAAUAGUUUCUUCACAAGCUAGAAUCACCCUAAGUAGCUAAAUUUUGACAUUUUUAUCACUAAACUAAGUCAAAACAAGGUGAAAUCGAGCUUUGAUAAAAUGAUACUUUUAGUCCCUCAUUCUAAAUUUUUAUCUUUAAGCUAAGACUAUCUCCUAUUUCACUUGUAAAUGUUUAUUUUUAUUAUUAUUAUUUUAUUAAUUCAUUUGAACCCUCUAUAAAAAUGACACAUACACCCUAUGAAAUUUCUAGGGUUUUACCGUUUUAGUCACUUCAUAUUUUAAGUGGAUUUAUGAGGGAACGAAGUGUGUUGCAACCUAGCAAUUUAGUCCCUUUUACUUAUUAUAGCCAGUAACCAUGCCACAUUAUCUGAAUUUGACACAUCAUCAUUGACAUGACCAAAAUGUCUUACGUCCAAUGACCCAAACGACGUCAUUUUUGAAUGUGAAACGUAGAGGCCAUGUUCACACUGUCCCCNCGCCGCAUUCGUAUAAAAGUUGAAGAUUAUGCCCUAAACUGGCACAAUUUGAAACCUGGUUACCCUGACUGCACCCUAAACUUCAAUACCAAUCGCAAAAACCAUGCCUUCACGAUCAUCUCCAAAUCACGGUUGGUCACCCAAUUAUAGUUUACACAUGGUUGAAAAUGUCUCAAACGAAGUCACCAAUGAAGACAUGGUGAUCAAUCUGUUGUAGACACAUUUGCAGGUGCCGCUAAUGGGGGAAGAGAUUUGAAACGACCUUCGUGAACUAUGAUGCAACAUCACUAGAGACUUGGAUACCCUAAACCAUGAAGUCGAUGAUGUUAGGGCAGGUCAGCUCGAUCUAUCUAACAUGGUUGCUGAUUUAAAGAAGCAUUUGUGUUCACUACAAGCAUCAUAUGUCAACAUCGUCUUGGGUAAAGACAAGUGCAACAAAGUCAAAUGGGUUCUUGGGGUUUUUGUUGUUGCUGUUGUGGGGGUGUUAACCUACAGGUUCUUAAAAUGACAGAAGAACUUUAGGUCACAACAUUUCUAUCCUGGGUUUCUAUUUUGUUUUGAUGUGCAUCUGGUUUAUUAUCCUUAUUAGUAAGGCUCUUUGUUCUUUGUCUUUUAGUUUCUGGUGGUAGUAUUUGGUGGUCGUGCUUGGUGUUUUUGUGAUCAUUUUGUUGUGAUGAUCAGUUUUUUCAUGGUAAUCACAGGUGAUGGUAUUCGUAUGUAGUAAGAUGCAGGUAGAAAUAUUGUUUUAACUUGUGUAAUAGAUGUAAAGAUGUAACAGAAACCCAUGAAUGAAAUGUUGGUUAAGUUAAAAUGUUCUUGUUAUAAAUCUAAAUCUGCAUGUGUCAUGAAGUAAUACCCAAAUUUUUUGUUGAUGUUCUUCCUGGGACCACAUAACAAAGUCAAACUUUUUAAACUAUUAACACAUGAACCCCAAUGUUUCUGCUGGGGACAUGGGACAAAAAAAGAAGAAUCUAAUACACGAGGCAUGUAAUACCCAAAUUUUGUCGUUGCAUAUAUCCCAGAAAUAGAAAACAAUGGAAAAGUUCUUUUUUGUUGUUUUUGUGGUUGCCUACUUCGAUAAAUGCCAGGAAGAAAUGAUAUACUCCUAAUGGGUUAAGUCAAAUAAAAAAGUAAUGACUGAAAUACCCCUAAUGGGUUAAGUCACAUAAAAAUAUUGACUGAAAUACCCCUGAUUGGGUUAAGUCACAUAAAAAAUAAUGACUAAAAUACCCCUAUUUGUUUAAAUAAUUAAAAUGAAACUAAUACCCCUAACAUAUUGUAAUUAAUCUAACUUCUUUGAUUUACUAAAAUACCCCUACUUUAUUAAUUACUUGAAAUAACAUACACCUAUUGGAUUAACUGAUUCGAAUGACUAAAGUACCCCUAAACUAACAUUAACAUGCCUUGUUGAAAUAUUUGCAAUGACUAAAGUACCGGUACACACUAAUAUAAAUAAGAUCAUACAUAUUGUAAAUACAUACACGAAUCCAAAUAUCAAAUGUUAAGGUUAGUAUAACAUACAUGAACAUAACAAACACAAAAUCCCUUGUUCAAUCCACAUAACAGACACACAAUUAAAAUUUUAAUUAAUCUAACUCCAUUGGCGAUCCAACACUACUAACUUCACCUUCAACUCCUUUAGAAAGAUUUAGUUUAAGUUUUCUCUCAGACUUUUUCCUCUUGCUUGGUUGACCUGUAGUAUACACAUGCCCAACAACUUGAUUAAUCCUACCCAGUUUCUCAUGUUCAUUAACCCUCACCACUUGCUCAGAUUCGUUUACCCUCAUAACUUCCUCAGCUUGUGGCUCAACUGCAUCACCCAUAACAACAUCUUCUCCACCCCCUUGCAUACUCACUGACUAUUGUGUUUGCAUGGUCUUCUGUUUCUUUGUGACAUUAGUUUUAGGUGGCCUUGGCACUUGAGUGCAUAUGGUCUUAUUGUGCCCUUCCUUUUUGCAUAUGCCACAAGAAAAAUUUCCCCUGCCUUUGAAACCAUGUGUUUUCCAAACCUUUCAGAAGCAUCCCAUAUUCUUUUCAUGGUUGGCCUACCUGGCAUUCUUCUUUUUAAUGGAGGCAAUGGAGGUAAAAAGUUUGUAAAAUGCCACAUGCUCAUCUCAUUCAUGCCACUAAUGGAUUGUUUGUAGGUAUUAUGGAAGAAAGCUCCCAGGUACAAUGGGUCUACAUAUGCUCCAUCAGGUGUGAUGUUUAAAUAUGUUAAUGUAGCUACUGAAUGAACAUAACCAUUCUCAUUUAAUUGCUAUAACCUACAAAUGCAUUCCUUUUUUGUGACAUCAACAAUGUAUGACUCAUCAAUUUUCCUUGUUAUAAAAUUCAUACCCCCACAAGAUACAACCUUCCAAUGCCUACAUAAUGUAAUGCAAAUGUUUAGAGUUGAGAGAGGUAUGGUAUGUAUGAAUAAAUAAGUGUGCAAACCUUCGCUCAUUUUGGAGAAUAUUCAAUUUGGUGCUGANGUACAAUGGGUCUACAUAUGCUCCAUCAGGUGUGAUGUUUAAAUAUGUUAAUGUAGCUAUUGAAUGAACAUAACCAUACUCAUUUAAUUGCCAUAACCUACAAAUGCAUUCCUUUUUUGUGACAUCAACAAUGUAUGACUCAUCAGUUUUCCUUGUUAUAAACUUCAUACCCCUACAAGAUAC
rnacentral:lncRNA from 1 species